GACGAACGCUGGCGGCGUGCUUAACACAUGCAAGUCGAGCGGUAAGGCCCUUUCGGGGGUACACGAGCGGCGAACGGGUGAGUAACACGUGGGUGACCUGCCCUCAGCUCUGGGGAUAAGCCUGGGAAACCGGGUCUAAUACCGGAUAUGACUCCAUGACGCAUGUUGUGGGGUGGAAAGCCUUGUGCGGCUGAGGAUGGGCCCGCGGCCUAUCAGCUUGUUGGUGGGGUGAUGGCCUACCAAGGCGACGACGGGUAGCCGGCCUGAGAGGGCGACCGGCCACACUGGGACUGAGACACGGCCCAGACUCCUACGGGAGGCAGCAGUGGGGAAUCUUGCGCAAUGGGCGAAAGCCUGACGCAGCGACGCCGCGUGAGGGAUGACGGCCU
rnacentral:rRNA from 1 species